rnacentral:rRNA from 1 species
AUUGAACGCUGGCGGCAGGCCUAACACAUGCAAGUCGAGCGGUUGAGGGUAGCUUGCUACCUGAUGCAGCGGCGAACGGGUGAGUAAUGCAUGGGAAUCUGCCUGGUAGUGGGGGACAACGUUUCGAAAGGAACGCUAAUACCGCAUACGCCCUACGGGGGAAAGGGGGGGAUCUUCGGACCUCUCGCUAUCAGAUGAGCCCAUGUCAGAUUAGCUAGUUGGUGAGGUAAAGGCUCACCAAGGCGACGAUCUGUAACUGGUCUGAGAGGAUGAUCAGUCACACUGGAACUGAGACACGGUCCAGACUCCUACGGGAGGCAGCAGUGGGGAGUAUUGGACAAUGGGCGAAAGCCUGAUCCAGCCAUGCCGCGUGCGUGAAGAAGGCCCUAGGGUUGUAAAGCACUUUCAGUGGGGAGAAAGGUGGUUCACCUAAUACGUGAAUCAAUUGAUGUUACCCACAGAAGAAGCACCGGCUAACUCCGUGCCAGCCGCCGCGGUAAUAC